CCUACGGGGGGCAGCAGUGAGGAAUAUUGGUCAAUGGACGAGAGCCUGAACCAGCCAAGUAGCGUGAAGGAUGACUGCCCUAUGGGUUGUAAACUUCUUUUAUAUGGGAAUAAAAUGUUCCACGUGUGGGAUUUUGUAUGUACCAUAUGAAUAAGGAUCGGCUAACUCCGUGCCAGCAGCCGCGGUAAUACGGAGGAUCCGAGCGUUAUCCGGAUUUAUUGGGUUUAAAGGGAGCGUAGGUGGAUUGUUAAGUCAGUUGUGAAAGUUUGCGGCUCAACCGUAAAAUUGCAGUUGAAACUGGCAGUCUUGAGUACAGUAGAGGUGGGCGGAAUUCGUGGUGUAGCGGUGAAAUGCUUAGAUAUCACGAAGAACUCCGAUUGCGAAGGCAGCUCACUGGACUGCAACUGACGCUGAGGCUCGAAAGUGUGGGUAUCAAACAGGAUUAGAUACCCUGGUAGUC
rnacentral:rRNA from 1 species